rnacentral:rRNA from 1 species
AUGAAGUAUUCAUGCUAUUAUAUUAUCCAUCUUGGAUGUUUAAUGGGAUUUAUUAAACACUUCUAUAUUAUUGACCCAGAGCCCAGUGCCACUUCCUGUUUUUUCCCUUGUUUCAGUGUUUCGAAGAAAAGGAAUAUCAAACGAAGUCGAAACGGAAUGAAACCUUCUGGAGAAGUUAUUUUUGGAAAGAAAGCAACCCGGUUGACUUGGAGUGCACGUCAGGAAAGAAACGAGGGAGGCAUGAGGCAGGGGAGCGCGCCCACCCCCCGGGCGCGCCCUCCACCCUUGUGGGCCCCUUGUGGCUCCCCUGACGUACUUCUUCUUCCUAUAUAUAUCCAUAUACCCUAA